rnacentral:rRNA from 1 species
UACGUAGGGGGCAAGCGUUGUCCGGAAUUAUUGGGCGUAAAGCGCGCGCAGGCGGCCGUUUAAGUCUGAUGUUUAAGCCCGGGGCUCAACCCCGGAUCGCAUUGGAAACUGGGUGGCUGGAGUGCAGAAGAGGAGAGUGGAAUUCCGCGUGUAGCGGUGAAAUGCGUAGAGAUGUGGAGGAACACCAGUGGCGAAGGCGACUCUCUGGGCUGUAACUGACGCUGAGGCGCGAAAGCGUGGGGAGCAAACAGG